rnacentral:lncRNA from 1 species
AUGUGUGGAAAAGCUGAUGAAAUUCAGAUAAGAGAGAGACACAGUGAGAGAAGGAAGACAAGCAGAGGAAGUGGGAGAGGGAGAAGCAGGCUUCCCGCCAAGCAGGGAGCCCGAUGCGGGGCUCGAUCCCAGGACCCUGGAAUCAUGACCUGAGCCAAAGACAGAUGCUUAACGACUGAGCCACCCAGGUGCCCCUCCAACUCCCAUUUUACCUACUUCUCUUUGUCC